rnacentral:rRNA from 1 species
CUACGGGGGGCUCCAGUGGGGAAUAUUGGACAAUGGGCGCAAGCCUGAUCCAGCAAUGCCGCGUGAGUGAAGACGGCCUUAGGGUUGUAAAACUCUUUCGCUAGGGAAGAUAAUGACUGUACCUAGUAAAGAAGUCCCGGCUAACUCCGUGCCAGCAGCCGCGGUAAUACGGAGGGGACUAGCGUUGUUCGGAAUUACUGGGCGUAAAGAGUUCGUAGGCGGACUGACAAGUUAGAGGUGAAAUCCCAGGGCUCAACCCUGGAACUGCCUUUAAAACUGCCAGUCUAGAGACCGGAAGAGGUUAGGGGAAUACCUAGUGUAGAGGUGAAAUUCGUAGAUAUUAGGUGGAACACCAGUGGCGAAGGCGCCUAACUGGUCCGGUACUGACGCUGAGGAACGAAAGCGUGGGGAGCAAACAGGAUUAGAUACCCUUGUAGUC